rnacentral:lncRNA from 1 species
AUACUGCCAUCCAUGAAGGCCAUUUUUCUUGUAAUCUAGAUUUUGAUCCAACUGAAAGUUCAGGAGUUCUUUGGGGGACUGCUCAUAGAUGCAAAAAAGAGACAUAGAGAGAGAGAUGCAAAAAAGAGACAUAGAGAGAGAGAGAGGCUACUACAAUUCACUUGGGGGAUGCUUUGUUGUGCAGGAUUUGGGGGGUGCCUAGUCUAGCAAGGGUUUUCAACUAUAAUAUGUGUGAUAGUGGCAAUUUUCAAAAACUUUAAUAGUUCAAGUACAUAAGAAAACAUAAGUCCACUCUGUAAAAACAACAGUAGACGCAGAAAGUUCAGUUUUGCUAUAUACGAUUGGUAAUGCCGAUGUGUUCCUUUGUGGUUUAGAUUUCGGCAGUAAACUAUGCAAACAAUCUAAAAGUACUCAAGUCCAACUUGCAAACCAGUAGCAGUCCUAUAGUGCAACAUGCAUCAAAUUCACAAAAAUAGCAAACCUGACUUGAAGCAAAUUCGCAUCUGGUUGUUUAUUUCGUAGCUCAUCGUUUCUAAUAUGAGCCAAUGCUUCUAUUCUGUAGUUUUUAUUUUGUAGCUCACUUUUUCUAAUAUAAUGUUAAAAGUCAACUAGAUGAAAAAUUCUCUGUGUUAGCGAUCAGUACUAGUGCUCAUCAGUACGGCAAGCAGCAGUACUGAUCAGUAUGACUUACACAAAUACUAGUACUGAUUAGUACUUUCUUAAUGUUAAAGAUGAGCAGUAAAAGAUACAAGUUGCAGUUCCAGGGCAACCUGUCUCAGAUCCUUUUCAGGUUCAGGUAAUAAAUGUUUGGUAUUCUUAUAUACUUGCAUCAAUUCAGACUCGCGGAUAAAAUAAGUUGAGGGAAAGCCCAUACAAAAGUUCAAAGUUGAGAAACAGGGGUUCUUUGUUUCAAUGUUCGCUAGUGUAUGCAGAUUGGUUUGCAUGCAAUUCAUAGUUGGAUGGCUACUGAUCUCUAUAAAACCUUGGAAUCAGUGCUUGCAUUACUAGUCCAACCAUACUAGGUAAAACUGAAUGUACCUAGCCAGUUCAAUAACAUCAUCUCCUUGUGCAAAAAAGUAGUUAAAAAGGUCAAACUGACAUCUGCUUCAGAAUGUCGCACAAAAUAAUAUUUAUCUGUAUUUGUCUUUUUCAUGUUGAGUUAUUUGAAGUAAAACAAAAAUAGCUCACUUUUGUGACUUUCAUCAUUUGAAAAUCUACAUGCCUGCAGUUCGAGGACGGACACCCCAGGUUCUCAAGCAGCAAAGUUAUCACACAAAGUUGAACUUGCUGCUGCACCAUCUUCACCAAGUCAAACUUGCAGCAGCCAGGGGAUCCACAAUCGUUGGGAGCUGUCCAAGUCAAGCUAUGACCGCAGUCCAAGUGUUACUGCGACCACCAUCUUCACCCAGCGCUGCACCCAUUGAGCACCCACACAGUGAGAACGCCAUCUCAUUUUUCUUUGAACAUUUUCUUUCUGAUUCAUGCUCGCUGAUGGAUCAGCUACUAUUCAUUUAGUUUGUACUCUCUGAACUGUGGCUGGGGUUCUUCGCACGCUAGCGCCGCUGCCGGCCCCGUACAGCUAAGUCCUUGGCCCACUGCACGCCCUGCUGCCCUCGACCUCCCUCUCACAGGCAUGCUACCCCAACUUUCAUUUUGAUUCUCAGUUCAAGUUGUGUGUUCUUUUCGUUGCAUUAUGCUUUAAAUGUGCAAAAUCUUGAGGAAAUCCUGAAAUAUUAUGUGUGCAAUAAAGGUAAUUAAGUGCCUUUAGAAAUUCUGACAGUCCAUCCCAGACUAAGCAAACAAUACAUGUUAGUGUUGGUUUUUUAAGAGAAUUUAGUAUUAGUUGAUCAACAUUUUGAUGCUUUUUCACUAUGUCUGCACUUCGUUAUAGUUAAGCAUUGAUCCAUUUCUCAGCUGCAAGUAAAUAAUGAUCUUGCACUUCAUUAUAAUGCCCUCCCCCUCUGUUUCUCUUCCUCUCUAAAUCCCCUUUCUGUCACUAAUUUAUUUUCUCCCUGAAUGCAGCACAAGGGAGGCUGGAGCGACUGCAGAUCGGUGACAAGAGCCACUUCAGUUCUGUUGUUCGUGUAUUGGAAGUACGUAUCCUCUAUCCGGGCAGGAGAUAGAGGUAAUUUCUCCCCUAAUGCAACCUAUUUUGUAAGUAGCCUGAGACCCAUCAUGUCCUAUAUACAGAUUCAGAGUUUAACACAUCAAUGGAAGUUUGUUCUGAAAACUGAAAUUGUUCUGGAUGUACUGAUAGAUUAGUUGUUAAUUAUUGUAGUGUUUCGUUCUUGCAGAACAAAAAUAAGAUGUAUAGGUUACUUCUUGGCCCAGAUGAGAGAACCCUCAUGUUGAAAAGUAUAAAGAAGUUCUGAAGCAAUUCCUAGUGUCUUUAGAAGCAUUCAUGUUUAAAAGCAACGGCAAUCUCCUCCGUUCAAGUUGAGCACUGGUCAUCGUCCAAGUUGAGCGCUAGAUGCCGUCCAAGUUCAAAGAUGAUUGUAUGCAAGUACAGAAGUUUGUUUUAGUGAGAAAAAAUGCGGGUUUUUGGACAAUAUUAUGUAUGUUUGAUUUGCUCAACCUUAGAACUUGGAGAUAUCCACUCUAUUUUUCUAUGAUGAAGGCACACAUGAGAUCAUGUGCAAUGGUUAUUCCCCUAUUUUGUUUCUUCAAAUGUGUAUUUUGUUUCUUAUAAUGUGUUGUUCCCUUGUUCGAUGAGGUAAAACAAAGAAAAAUAGUGAAAAUAUCAUUCAAGACUUGUCCGGUAGAAAGUGUGGAGAAGAAAACAGAAGUUCUUAAAACAAGGGAAUGGUAAAAAUAUAAGUCCGCUCAACUAUAUAAACCAUGCAGGUACAAUGGCGAUGACGCCGUCUGUAAGGAUGAGAAGGAAAAUUUAAAACUAAAACAAAAAGAGCUUCGAGUGAUUAUUUUUGGAGAAGUACAAACUCUCUAGUACCAUAAGUUUGAAUAUUAUUGUGCAAAAGGUACAAAAAAAUGAAUGCCCAGAAGAAAAGAACACUUACUGAUAGAAAACAAAUACCUUGUGAAAGUUUAGAGCAUAAAAAGGUCAAGUUGCAGAAAGAAUGAAGUGCAGAGUUGAGCACUGGUCCGUUCAGCAAAAAAAAUACGAUUGGCGUCCUCAUGUUGAACACUGGUCAUCAUCCAAGUUGAGCACUAGGUGCCGUCCAGGUUCAAAGAGGGUUGUAUGCAAGUACAUAAGUUUGUUUUAGGGAGAAAAAUGCGGGGUUUUGACAAUAUUCUGUAUGAUUCAUUUAUUCAACCUUAGAACUUGUCGAUAUUCAGUCUAUUUUUCGAUGAUGAAGGCACACAUGAAGUCCUGUACAAUGGUUACCCCCCCUAGUGCUUCAAACAUUCGUAUUUUGUCCUCAGAAUCAGUACAACGAAAUGACAGUAUCAGUACAAACGCUCAAAUUCAUCAGUUCAACAGUACUAACACGAUGGCGUGAUGAACUGCUAAAAAGAAUAAUAUCCCCCUCAUAAAAAUACAAUCAGCCCCCUAGGAACAGAGGGUCCAUGACAUGCUGUCCAUGCCGAGGGUGAACUUCACAAAAAAAUUCAACAAAAACAUCGCUAGCUAGCGACAGGCACACAAGAAAGAGGUCAGAGACAAGGAAUUGUACCUUUUCUGAAGGAAGCUUGCUCAAACUCAGCCUUCUCGUUGUUAAAUCUUUCACUCUAUUAUAGGCAAUUCUCAGCUUCUUUUUUUUAACCGAAAAAUUCAUUCUAUUACUAAACCCGCGCAGCGAUCUCGCUGGCGACCAGCACCGAAACACAGUCUGGAGCCUGCUCGAUCCACGAAAGAUCAGCAGCUCUUGCCCUGAAGCCAAACGCGGCUAGUUCAUGGGCCGCCUUAUUACAG